rnacentral:rRNA from 1 species
CGGACGGGUGAGUAAUGUAUGGGGAUCUGCCUGAUGGCGGGGGAUAACUACUGGAAACGGUAGCUAAUACCGCAUAAUGUCUACGGACCAAGCGGGGACCUCGGGCCUCUUGCCAUCGGAUGUGCCCAGAUGGGAUUAGCUAGUAGGUGGGGUAACGGCUCACCUAGGCGACGAUCCCUAGCUGGUCUGAGAGGAUGACCAGCCACACUGGAACUGAGACGCGGUCCAG